rnacentral:rRNA from 1 species
GACGAACGCUGGCGGCGUGCUUAACACAUGCAAGUCGAACGGUGAAGCGCCUUCCUUUUUGGUGGGUGUGGAUGUGUGGCGAACGGGUGAGUAACACGUGAGUAACCUGCACCCAUCUUCUGGAUAACCGCAUGAAAGUGUUGCUAAUACGGGAUAUUCUGGGUCUGUCGCAUGAUGGGUCUGGGAAAGUUAUUGUUUCGGUGGGGGCUCGCCUGUCGGCCUAUCAGCUUGUUGGCGGGGUGAUGGCCUACCAAGUCGGUGACGAGUAGCCGGCCUGAGAGUGUGGGCGGUCACACGGGUGAUGAAGCGCAGCGCAGACGGUUAUGUGAGUCAGCAUUUAGGAAUAUUGCAGAAUGUGCUCAAGCGUGAUGCAGCGACGCCGCGUGAUGGAUGGAUGGCUGUGGGUUGUGAACCUCUAGCGCCAUUGAAGCAUGUCUGCCUCGUAUGUGGGGGGGUUGACGGUAGCUGGAAAAGAAGCGCUGGCUAACUACGUG